rnacentral:rRNA from 1 species
UGCAGUCGAGCGGUAACAGGGGGAGCUUGCUCCCCGCUGACGAGCGGCGGACGGGUGAGUAAUGCAUAGGAAACUGCCCAGUAGUGGGGGAUAGCCCGGGGAAACCCGGAUUAAUACCGCAUACGCCCUUUGGGGGAAAGCAGGGGAUCUUCGGACCUUGCGCUAUUGGAUGUGCCUAUGUCGGAUUAGCUAGUUGGUGGGGUAAGAGCCUACCAAGGCGACGAUCCGUAGCUGGUCUGAGAGGAUGAUCAGCCACAUCGGGACUGAGACACGGCCCGAACUCCUACGGGAGGCAGCAGUGGGGAAUAUUGGACAAUGGGGGCAACCCUGAUCCAGCCAUGCCGCGUGUGUGAAGAAGGCUUUCGGGUUGUAAAGCACUUUCAGUGAGGAGGAAAACCUUAAGUUUAAUACGCUUGAGGCUUGACGUUACUCACAGAAGAAGCACCGGCUAACUCCGUGCCAGCAGCCGCGGUAAUACCGAGGGUGCGAGCGUUAAUCGGAAUUACUGGGCGUAAAGCGCGCGUAGGUGGUUUGAUAAGCGAGAUGUGAAAGCCCCGGGCUCAACCUGGGGAACGGCAUU